GCAGUCUUUAAAUUGAUAUCUAUGAGCUACAGUACCAUGCAUCUAAAAUAUCCAGAGGAAAGCACCGCACCUCAGCUGAAAAGAAGUGACCAACUAGUACUUCUAUUCCCCAACCUAACAGACCAUCCACCAUCGUUAUCCCUAUUCCCCAUCACACGGAAGCAGACCAACCCAGCAAACUUUUCCAGAACCAAGCUGCCGAGCCAUGGAGAUCACCUAGGAGGACUAGCGCCCAGACCUUUGGCUGGAGCAGAGCAAGUCGUCCAUCAAGGCAAGGAGAUGGAGAAGAGGAAAAGACCAACACAUCUCUGAUCGGUUCUUCUUCAUCUUUGAUCUUGAGUACAGAGCAAGUGCCGAGACGAUGAAGAUCUCCAACGACGCAGAUCAAUAAUUGUCCACCGACGAACAAGUCAAGCAUGGGAUCUCCGAAGAUCCACAUUGGUUUGUCAGGGACAAAGGCAAGCCCUAGCCUGGUUCAUAUUAUGAUUUCGAAAUGCUUUUACUUCUGGUUCCUACAUAUCGCAUUCGUUUCAAAUAUGUUUUAUCGGCAGGUAUAGUUAUCCUAUGUAUGUUGCAUUUACCAUCCUUGUAGCCUAAAUACUCUGA